UACGUAGGGUGCAAGCGUUGUCCGGAAUUAUUGGGCGUAAAGAGCGUGUAGGCGGCUCGGUAAGUCUGCUGUGAAAGUCCAGGGCUCAACCCUGGAAUGCCGGUGGAAACUGUCGAGCUAGAGUCCGGAAGAGGCGAGUGGAAUUCCUGGUGUAGCGGUGAAAUGCGCAGAUAUCAGGAGGAACACCGAUGGCGAAGGCAGCUCGCUGGGACGGUACUGACGCUGAGACGCGAAAGCGUGGGGAGCAAACAGG
rnacentral:rRNA from 1 species